rnacentral:rRNA from 1 species
ACGGGAGGCAGCAGUGGGGAAUAUUGGUCAAUGGGCGGGAGCCUGAACCAGCCAAGUAGCGUGAGGGAUGACUGCCCUACGGGUUGUAAACCUCUUUUGUUUGGGAAUAAAGGAGCCUACGUGUAGGCUUUUGCAUGUACCUUUCGAAUAGGCAUCGGUUAAUUCCGUGCCAGCAGCCGCGGUAAUACGGAAGAUGCGAGCGUUAUCCGGAUUUAUUGGGUUUAAAGGGAGCGUAGGCGGCCUUUUAAGUCUGCGGUCAAAUGUCAGGGCCCAACCUUGGCAUGCCGUGGAUACUGAUGGGCUUGAAUACACGCAAGGCAAGUGGAAUUCGUCGUGUAGCGGUGAAAUGCUUAGAUAUGACGAAGAACUCCGAUUGCGUAGGCAGCUGACCAAACCGUAAAUGACGCUCAUGCACGAAAGUGCGGGGAUCGAACAGGAUUAGAUACCCUGGUA